rnacentral:tRNA from 1 species
GGGGGGGUAGCUCACUUGGCUAGAGCACCUGCCUUGCACGCAGGGGGUAGUGGGUUCGAUUCCCAUCCUCUCCACCA